rnacentral:rRNA from 1 species
AUUGAACGCUGGCGGAAUGCUUUACACAUGCAAGUCGAACGGCAGCAUAGGUGCUUGCACCUGAUGGCGAGUGGCGAACGGGUGAGUAAUACAUCGGAACGUGCCCAGUCGUGGGGGAUAACGUAGCGAAAGUUACGCUAAUACCGCAUACGAUCUACGGAUGAAAGCGGGGGACCGUAAGGCCUCGCGCGAUUGGAGCGGCCGAUGUCAGAUUAGGUAGUUGAUGGGGUAAAGGCCCACCAAGCCAACGAUCUGUAGCUGGUCUGAGAGGACGACCAGCCACACUGGGACUGAGACACGGCCCAGACUCCUACGGGAGGCAGCAGUGGGGAAUUUUGGACAAUGGGCGCAAGCCUGAUCCAGCCAUUCCGCGUGCAGGAUGAAGGCCUUCGGGUUGUAAACUGCUUUUGUCUGGGAGCAAAUCCUUGUGGCUAAUACCCACCGGGGAUGAGAGUACCAGAAGAAUAAGGACCGGCUAACUACGUGCCAGCCGCCGCAGUAA